rnacentral:rRNA from 1 species
UACAGAGGGUGCAAGCGUUAAUCGGAAUUACUGGGCGUAAAGCGUGCGUAGACGGUCAUGUAAGUCGGGUGUGAAAGCCCCGGGCUCAACCUGGGAAUUGCAUUCGAGACUGCAUGGCUAGGAUGCGGAAGAGGGAAGCGGAAUUUCCGGUGUAGCGGUGAAAUGCGUAGAUAUCGGAAGGAACACCAGUGGCGAAAGCGGCUUCCUGGUCCAGCAUCGACGUUCAGGCACGAAAGCGUGGGGAUCAAACAGG